AUUGAACGCUGGCGGCAUGCCUUACACAUGCAAGUCGAACGGCAGCACGGGUGCGUUGCACCUGGUGGCGAGUGGCGAACGGGUGAGUAAUAUAUCGGAACGUACCUUAUCGUGGGGGAUAACGCAGCGAAAGCUGCGCUAAUACCGCAUACGCCCUGAGGGGAAANCGGGGAUCGAAAGACCUACGCGCGAUUAGAGCGGCCGAUGCCUGAUUAGCUUGUUGGUGGGGUAAAAGCCCACCAAGGCGACGAUCAGUAGCUGGUCUGAGAGGACGAUCAGCCACACUGGGACUGAGACACGGCCCAGACUCCUACGGGAGGCAGCAGUGGGAAUUUUCCGCAAUGGGCGAAAGCCUGACGGAGCAAUACCGCGUGAGGGAAGAAUGCCUAUGGGUUGUAAACCUCUUUUUUCAGGGAGGAAUAAAAUGACGUGUACCUGAAGAAUAAGCAUCGGCUAACUCCGUG
rnacentral:rRNA from 1 species